ACUCCUACGGGAGGCAGCAGUGGGGAAUUUUGGACAAUGGGGGCAACCCUGAUCCAGCCAUGCCGCGUGAGUGAAGAAGGCCUUCGGGUUGUAAAGCUCUUUCGGCCGGGAAGAAAUCGUGUUCUCUAACAUAGGACAUGGAUGACGGUACCGGACUAAGAAGCACCGGCUAACUACGUGCCAGCAGCCGCGGUAAUACGUAGGGUGCGAGCGUUAAUCGGAAUUACUGGGCGUAAAGCGUGCGCAGGCGGUUUUGUAAGACAGAUGUGAAAUCCCCGGGCUUAACCUGGGAACUGCGUUUGUGACUGCGAGGCUAGAGUACGGCAGAGGGGGGUGGAAUUCCUGGUGUAGCAGUGAAAUGCGUAGAUAUCAGGAGGAACACCGAUGGCGAAGGCAGCCCCCUGGGCCUGUACUGACGCUCAUGCACGAAAGCGUGGGGAACAAACAGGAUUAGAUACCCUGGUAGUC
rnacentral:rRNA from 1 species